CAAAGAAAAAGUGUGAUUUUUCAAGGAAUCAAGUGUUUAAAGGUGGUGAGCUAUCUGAUACGGGUAAAAGACUACACCCGAGGACCGAGAAUAGGAGUAUAUCUACUCCUAUUACAUGGGCACUGCAGUGACGGGGGUUCCGUGGGCUA
rnacentral:sRNA from 1 species